rnacentral:rRNA from 1 species
CCUACGGGUGGCAGCAGUGGGGAAUAUUGGGCAAUGGGCGCAAGCCUGACCCAGCAACGCCGCGUGAAGGAAGAAGGCUUUCGGGUUGUAAACUUCUUUUCUCAGGGACGAAGAAAGUGACGGUACCUGAGGAAUAAGCCACGGCUAACUACGUGCCAGCAGCCGCGGUAAUACGUAGGUGGCAAGCGUUAUCCGGAUUUAUUGGGGGUAAAGGGCGUGUAGGCGGGAGCGCAAGUCAGAUGUGAAAACUCAGGGCUCAACCCUGAGCCUGCAUUUGAAACUGUGUUUCUUGAGUGCUGGAGAGUCAAUCGGAAGUGCGGGCGUAGCGGUGAAAUGCGUAGAUAUACGGAGGAACACCAGUGGCGAAGGCGGUCUGCUGGACAGCAACUGACGGUGAGGCGCGAAAGCGUGGGGAGCAAACAGGAUUAGAUACCCGUGUAGUC